rnacentral:lncRNA from 1 species
CGCGCUCGUUCCUGGGGUGAGACCGCGCCGGGGAGCGGUUUUCCCGCCUUGUCCGCACGCACUUGCCUUUGGCCUCCCAAAAAUCCUCGGGAGAGGUGGGGGAACCCGCUUGCUGGACGAAAAUUCAGGUGGUUAAAGCACAAACAUGAUCUUCCUCGCUUCCCCCUCCCCCAGCAUCAGCAGUCAUUGCCACAGCCUAGUUGUUAGAAUUGCAAAGAAUCCGGACGAUUAAUCACGUAGAAAUCCUGAAGAUUAACAUUUAUCAUGUUGAGAUUUGGGCAGCACCUCAUCAAGCCCUCGGUGGUAUUCCUGAGGACGGAGCUCUCCUUUGCCCUUGUGAACCGGAAGCCAGUGGUCCCAGGGCGUAUCCUUUCAACCAGAGCCUCAGUCAGGAGUGCGUAUGGGCCGCUCAGCGUUCUGUGGAAAAGAGGGAGGCACUCUUUGCGUUCUGAAGGCCAGGAUACUGCUGCCACCCAAAUGGUGGAGGUGCCUGACCAGUCUGUUGGAAGACAUCGCGCCUCCCAACUCCCAAGAGAAAAUGAGACGAUUCUGGCAGAAUUUCCAUUGAAGAUGGAAAGAAGAUGGAGCAGACUGGCUCUAUAAAGAACAGGUUUCUUUCACAAGUUUGGGUGAAAACCGUGGUGCUUACCAUGUACCUGAAGUUUUUAUUCUUCCUUAAGACACACCGCUGCUGUUUGUUGUUAGUUUGUACAUUGCACAUACCAAAUCUGUAUUUAUGCAUCAUAAUUAUGAAUUUUACACUUUUUAGUAUAAACAAGUGUUAAUGUUUGCAAUAAGACUGAGUUACAGAAAAUAAAAUUCAGUCAUAUUGCA